CGAGAAUCGAGCGUGGGGCUUGAAGACCUCUCUUUCAUCGGCCUCCUCCUGUUGAAACCCUAAACCCCAACUAUGAUUCAUUUAACCUAAUGCUCAUUUCGGCUACCGUCUGCUGAGAAAACUCGACUGGAGCUUCGAGGAAGAAGAUGAAAAUUGAGACAGAGAUACGACAACAACGUGUCCUUUCCUCGAUUGCAAAGUUUUUCAGAAACUAAUGGAGUUUGUUGGAUACUGUUCUAUACGGUGCAUAAGCCUCAACUGUUGGAAUUCCUGAAGAUUUGUGAGAUAACAAUAUUUAAGAGCUUUGCGUUCAUAUAUUAAUUAAAUUCCUUUGUUGAGAAUGAAUCGAGCUUCGCAGCCGAAACAUGUAGCUGCUGUUAUAAGAUAUCAAAAUGAUCCCCUAAAAGCUCUCAAGGUGUUCAACCAAGUGAAAACCGAAGAUGGUUUGAAGCACACAUUGGCAACGUAUAAGUGCAUGACUGAGAAGCUUGUGACUUCAUGGAGAAUUUGAAGCAAUGGAGGAUGUGCUUGCUGAAAUGAGGAAGAAUGCCGACAGCAAAAUGCUUGAAGGAGUGCAUAUUGGAAUUACGAGGGACUAUGGAAGGAAAGGGAAGGUCCAAGAAGCUGUUAAUGUGUUUGAAAGGAUGGAUCUUUAUUUAUGAUUGUGGUGGGCACUUUUAAAGCAAAUGCUUUAGAAGCAGACACAAUUACAUACAACAUAUUGAUUGAAAGUUUAUGUAAGGAUCAAAGCAAUGUUUGAGGAGAUGAGAACCAGAGGUUUGACUCCAGAUAUUGUUACUCUUUGCACCUUUAUUUUGUGGGUUAUGCAGUAACAAAAAGCUGGAUAAAGCUUAUCAACUAUUUUUGCCACUAGAAAAAGAAUACAAAUUCUCAUAUUCAACAUUAU